rnacentral:rRNA from 1 species
UACGGGAGGCAGCAGUAGGGAAUAUUGGACAAUGGGCGAAAGCCUGAUCCAGCAAUGCCGCGUGAGUGAUGAAGGCCUUAGGGUUGUAAAGCUCUUUUACCCGGGAUGAUAAUGACAGUACCGGGAGAAUAAGCUCCGGCUAACUCCGUGCCAGCAGCCGCGGUAA